rnacentral:rRNA from 4 species
AUAAUGACUCUCGGCAACGGAUAUCUCGGCUCUCGCAUCGAUGAAGAACGUAGCGAAAUGCGAUACUUGGUGUGAAUUGCAGAAUCCCGUGAACCAUCGAGUCUUUGAACGCAAGUUGCGCCCGAUGCCAUUAGGCUGAGGGCACGUCUGCCUGGGUGUCACAC